AACGUUUCUAGUGGUCGGAGAAGUAAAUCCUCUCAAGUUCAAAAUGGAAUAGCGCUGGAAAGCAACGACCUGCUGGACUGUCUCCCUUUGUUUGUUCGUGAAAAUCCAGAAAAAAUACUGAAGAUCUGUGUAGACACUGCUCCAGAAGAUACCCAGAUCAGAGGUGUCAAAGUUGGCAUCAUGGUUGUUGUGGAUGAUGUCCACCACUUUAUCCUCACCGCUGACAGUCAAGAACAUUGCUGUUGUGCUGGAAGAGACUGUUGUUUUAAGAGAGAUUCCAGACCUGCCUUCUGCAUUUGCUUAUCUGUUUGGCCUCAUCUUAGCCUUGGAGACUGAGUACCCAAAAUAACCCAAGUACACUUUUAAGACAAUAGAAACGGUCUUCAUGAAUUUGGGCAGUCAGUGCUCUGCACGAGUAAGGUCCCUUAAAACAAAGCUUUUCUUAUGACUAUGGUUUUUGAUCAUAGCAUUAGGCACAGCCUUUGAAAAGUGAGCUUCUGUUUGUCUGUUCAAGCCUUGUUUGGAAUUCAGACCUGCAUUUGUUUAGUUUUGCACUAUUAAUUGUCAAAAAACCUUUGACCAAAUUGUUAAUCAGGUUUGUGUAGUAUUUGCACUACAAA